GACGAACGCUGGCGGCGUGCUUAACACAUGCCAGUCGAACGCUGAAGCUUGGGUGCUUGCAUCUGGGUGGAUGAGUGGCGAACGGGUGAGUAAUACGUGAGUAACCUGCCCUUGACUCUGGGAUAAGCCUGGGAAACUGGGUCUAAUACUGGAUACUACAUUCUCUCGCAUGGGGGUGUGUGGAAAGGGUUUUACUGGUUUUGGAUGGGCUCACGGCCUAUCAGCUUGUUGGUGGGGUAAUGGCCUACCAAGGCGACGACGGGUAGCCGGCCUGAGAGGGUGACCGGCCACACUGGGACUGAGACACGGCCCAGACUCCUACGGGAGGCAGCAGUGGGGAAUAUUGCACAAUGGGCGAAAGCCUGAUGCAGCGACGCCGCAUGAGGGAUGACGGCCUUCGGGUUGUAAACCUCUUUCAGCACGGAAGAAGCGAAAGUGACGGUACGUGCAGAAGAAGCGCCGGCUAACUACGUGCCAGCAGCCGCCGUAA
rnacentral:rRNA from 1 species